rnacentral:rRNA from 1 species
UACAGAGGGUGCAAGCGUUGUUCGGAAUUAUUGGGCGUAAAGCGCGUGUAGGCGGCCCGAUAAGUCCGCUGUGAAAGUCGAGGGCUCAACCCUCGAAUGCCGGUGGAUACUGUCGGGCUAGAGUACGGAAGAGGCGAGUGGAAUUCCUGGUGUAGCGGUGAAAUGCGCAGAUAUCAGGAGGAACACCAAUUGCGAAGGCAGCUCGCUGGGACGUUACUGACGCUGAGACGCGAAAGCGUGGGGAGCAAACAGG